rnacentral:rRNA from 1 species
GACGAACGCUGGCGGCGUGCUUAACACAUGCAAGUCGAACGGUAAGGCCCUUCGGGGUACACGAGUGGCGAACGGGUGAGUAACACGUGGGUGAUCUGCCCUGCACUUCGGGAUAAGCUUGGGAAACUGGGUCUAAUACCGGAUAGGACCACGGUCUGCAUGGAUUGUGGUGGAAAGCUUUUGCGGUGUGGGAUGGGCCCGCGGCCUAUCAGCUUGUUGGUGGGGUGAUGGCCUACCAAGGCGACGACGGGUAGCCGGCCUGAGAGGGUGUCCGGCCACACUGGGACUGAGAUACGGCCCAGACUCCUACGGGAGGCAGCAGUGGGGAAUAUUGCACAAUGGGCGCAAGCCUGAUGCAGCGACGCCGCGUGGGGGAUGACGGCCUUCGGUGUAAACCGUCUUCUAGCAGGGACGAAGGGU